AUCCCCGUUGCACAACAGGUACACCUUUCUAUCAGAAGGUUGCUGCAUCGAAUCCUGGGGAAGGUGUUUGGCUAUCUGUAAGGCAAAACAUCAAGGUUAAGUUUACUCCCUAGAUCAUGUGAAGAAGUUAUCAAUUACUUGUAGAAAACAAAAAAAAAAACUUGUAGCAAAGGUCCCUGGCUUAGGGACAUAUUGCAUGAAAACACAUUGUCUUCUUCUAUAUUAUAGAUGUAUGUAAAUCAAAACUAUAUAUCAGAAAAUUCACACAGACGUUAUGUAGUUUGAAAAUGUCUGGAAAUCUAUAAUUUGUGAAUGCUUUCAAAUGCUUAUAUGUGACGUCGUCUUUGAAAACCGGUCCAGAUGCGGCAUGAUGUAAUAUCGAGAAACGACGUUUAAAGUUGCGCCAAGUUUACACGUGCAGCUUUCUUACACAUGUUUUAAUUAGCGAAAGUUUGACUGUUAAAGUAUGACUGCUUGUUACAUGAUUGAUAACAGCCUACUAGAGAAAGAAUAUUUAGACAUCAGACCUGUAAAAAAACAGUGGUAUUACGCCUGAGACAAAAUAUUUCGUUCAAAUCAGUUGUUUCCUCUUCACUACUGUAUGUUUCCGGUUUCGGAUUUUAUCAGGGAAGCAUGUGAAGUUUAAAUUUGUUUAACUUCCUUUUGUUCAACGGUGAAGGGAUCUGAGACUUGUAAUACUGUUUACUGAUUUGAUAAUAUUCCUUGUUCCUUUGAUGGUUCAUUCCACUACAGCUGGUUCAUAUACCCUACAACAGCCAGGAAAUUGUUCUGUUUACUUUAAGAUCUGAAGAAAAUGUUACAUAUUUUGGAUGUACUUUGAGGAAUAAGGAAGACAAGUGUUUCCUCUUGUUUAUGAAAGCAGCUCAGUUGGUUAAGGGGCAGACAACUUGUGAGCAUGGUACAUCACUACCUGUAUUGGUAUUCUAUUUUGACAAUGCUGCUAGCUAAAAUUGAAAUAACAUCUUGCUGUGGUAUGGUCUGUGGAGUUUUACUAGGAUAUCACAGAUGGAUUGAUAUUCAGCAAUGAUCACAGACCAUGCAAAGUCUGACUUGCACUUUUGAAUUUAGAAGAAUCUGUGGAGGAGGGGGAAUGCUGAGACCUUUAAUAAUACAUGACAUUGCUGACACAGUGUGUCAGUCAUCAAAGAAAGGUCAUAACAUUGCACAGUUAGUCAACAAUGAUUUACAUCCUGUCACAUUCUGCCAGUGGAGAAAUAUCUUAUCACAAUAUUUUAAACUUUUGAAGAAGAUUACCACUUUAUCAUGUCUGCAGAAACACCUGGAUUGUUAGUGUUAAAAGUGACAGUCCAGCUGAGACAGUUAACUUACUAAAAUCUACUCCCCCUUGCCAAACGAAUAUUAUUGACAUGGAAUGACACAAGCCUGACAAUGGUACCCUGUAUGAACUCCUAAGAGAGUAGUAUUUAUCUGAAAAGUCAAAGGAUUUUGUUUGUCCCAGACCACUUUAACUGAAAACUGAAAUUGUGAUUGACGAGGAUUUUUCCGAGAACUGAAAAAAAGGAAGUGAAUAUAAAAGAUAGAAAUUGUUGUUGAAUUUAAACGUUUUAAUGCACAACACUUCAGCCUGUUUUGCUGUUUAUAUAGAUGUGUUUAGCUGUUAAGGUUAAACAUCAAGUAAAGGUUGUAGUUUCAGUUACCUACAUUAAAGUACUGGCUGGAAAUAAAUAUUUACUUUUCACCAGAGCUUGUAGCAGUGUAACCUUCAUCAAAAGUUAAGCUAUUAUGUUAAGUAUUAAAGUAUUUUUAGAAAAAAAGAAUUUAGUAUGUAUGUUGCCAUGGUAACAUAAUUCAAAUUAUAUUUCAUUGAAAUUAUGGAUUUGGAUUUCAA